rnacentral:rRNA from 1 species
UCGAGAAUUUUUCACAAUGGGCGCAAGCCUGAUGGAGCGACGCCGCGUGGGGGAUGAAUGGCUUCGGCCCGUAAACCCCUGUCAUUUGCGAUCAACCGUUGUUGUUUAAGAGAUGACAACCUGAUAGUAGCGAAAGAGGAAGGGACGGCUAACUCUGUGCCAGCAGCCGCGGUAAUACAGAGGUCCCAAGCGUUGUUCGGAUUCACUGGGCGUAAAGGGUGCGGAGGUGGCAAGGUAAGUCGGAUGUGAAAUCUCCGAGCUCAACUCGGAAAUGGCAUUGGAAACUGCUUGGCUAGAGGGUUGGAGGGGGGACUGGAAUACUGGGUGUAGCAGUGAAAUGCGUAGAUAUCAAGUGGAACACCAGUGGCGAAGGCGAGUCCCUGGACAACUCCGGACACUGAGGCACGAAAGCUAGGGGAGCAAACA